UGAGUGUUGAGAGUGGUACCCUCUGAAUUUUUUCAUUGGAAGUUCAUUCCUGAUUUUCCUUUUGAUUGCAAGAUUUAUGGGCAAAAGAAACAAAAAGCUAUUCUGGUUGCCAGCUAUUGCUCCUCUUGUAUCAGUUAUACUAUCAACUUUUAUUGUGUAUAUAUCAAAAGCUGAUAAAAAUGGGGUUAAUAUAUAGUAACACAUGUCAAAACAGGCCUUAAUCCAACCUCAGUUCACCAAUUACAACUCAAUGGUCCACAUGUUGGUCAAGCAGCUAAAAUUGGAUUGAUUUGUGCUGUUAUUGCUCUCACUGAAGCAAUGGCUGUUGGUAGAUCAUUUGCUUCAAUUAAGGGAUACCAUCUUCAUGGGAACAAAGAAAUGUUAGCAAUGGGUUGUAUGAACAUUGCAGGAUCUUUCACUUCAUGUUAUG